AACUCAACGAAUGAAAGUAGUGCAUUAGUUUUCUACGUUUUCCUGGGAAAGUGUUAACAAACUGUGUUUUCUUUUUCUUGAAGAAUCUCUUAUGGAAAGAAUGAAGGACAUAAUGAUGAAUUUUCAUUGACUUUUCCGGAAAGUACUUUAUUAAACCCCGCCAUCCAUAAUUUCCAACGUGCGGACACAACAGGACACCUCUUUUUAAGAACCAAAAGGCCGAAAAGAAAUUCGCAGACUUCCUCACAAUUUGAUUAUAAGGGAAAAUUGUCGAGAAGAGAGAACAGUGAUGAGGAUGAUGAUGAAGAUAUAUGUCUCGACCACCAGCAAGUUACAAGUGGAUUAACUUCUGACUGUAGAUCCUACGCGUUUGGUGUUGGUCUAAGGAACGAGUGUGGCCACAAGAAAGGCGACUUCAUUUGGGAUCGCGAGAGGAAGAAAGACACUAGACGCACUUCAAAACAGGUACUACCCACGAGACAGGUGUACAACCUGGCAGCGAGCAAAGGAACCAACAGUGGUCUGUAAGAAAGCAAUCGUGGAGAAUUGACGUAUAAGCACUCAUUUCAAUUUAUUCAUUUAUUUAUUGACCCCUUUCUGUUUGCCUCCUCUGUGCGCAACCCCUAACAAGUUAGAUUGGAUUCUUCCAGCAGAGACUAUAACGUUAUAUAAUUCUAUAUGGGAACAUUAUCCAUCUUCAGGGUUUCUCAUAAAUAAUUCGAGGUCGCCGUAAUCUAGCUUAGUUGAUCCGUAAAAGCCAGAAGAUUACAAAUUUAUUAGUUGAUAAGUUGAUGAAAACAAUGUCUCUAAUUAAAAACUGCUCUAAAACAGAUAUCAUAAACCUAAUGGUUUAUGAUAUCUGUUGUAGGUAUUUCAAUAAUUAUGUUACAAGAGGUCUUCCAUGAGUUUUAAGGUGUUUUUAGUUUUGUAAAUUCUCCGUAAUAUUCGUUGAAGGUGAUUUUCAGGUUGGUUAUUGCUUCACUCGUUCGUAGCAUUAACCACUAGAUAAAAUCAGCCAAAAUAAUACUCCAUUAGAUCUCAAGUAUGCGGUUUAUCUCAUUUUUUAUUCGUAUUUAUUAGUUAACUCAUUUACGCCUUUUAAUUGGCCCUUCAGUAAAGAAUCUUCAUUCUUCCUACCUGAGUGUCUAUUUAUGUGCCAUAAUGACAUUCUCAUUUCGCUGAAACGCCCUUAGAGAAUUCUAACCAUUCUCUCGGUCUUGUUCCCUUUUGGGCAAAAAGCUUCUUUGACCUGAUGAAUGUCUUCAUCGAAGUAGAUCUGGGUCUUCCAACUCAUCUGGUGCCCAUGGGAGCCCCCAGUUGACUAUUGCAUCUCAUUUUCACUCCGGUUGGAACAAAUUACUUCUCCAGGCUUCGUCCGUCUUCCAUUUAGCAUCUUCUCGUCUACGCACAUCCGGAGCUUCCGAAGGUCUCCUUACAGUAUUCUUUCUCUCUCGAUCCUACCACUUGACUCUUAAGUAUUUCACUAUAUUUCACCUGAGAGAGAACCUGCACCCGAUAUCAUUGUUACUGAAUGCUCGAGACUAUCUCUAAUCCUUUUCCCAACUAGUAUUAUUUCACCCUUUUGUCCAUGUUAUACUGUUAAUCAAAUAACCUUUGUGAAUCUUGUGGUAUUUUGAUGAGGAAAAAAGCAUCAUAUGUGUAUUUCGAAGUCUCUCUGUAUUAGUACCCAAAUCUAAACCCUCUCUUCCAAUACCAACCACUCUUUCAUUAUGAUUGUUCAAACCAACAUAAAAAUAUAUAUCGAAUUAUUCAUCCUAUAAUAUAGAAAUAAAACUGUGUGCUUGUAAAUUCUGUACUACUACGUUAAUUUCAUUAAGUAAUUUGUAUGGCUUUAAAUAGCGUUAAUGUUGCGGGGCAGGGGGGGGGGGGGAGAUAAUCUUAAGAUUAGCUUAGUUCCAUGAAUUAUUUUCAACAAACGAGCUUUCCAACCACCUAAGGUAACCCAAUUCUCCAUGGAGCAUCUUAGAAAGGAAUCGUGCCAAAAAGGUGAAAGUAGCCCGAGCAAAUCUCUGUAAAAAACUGGUUCAUUCUGCCUUUGUAUCCCCUUUGAACUUGGUAGGAAUGAUGGACUUUUUCACUUUCAUGUAAUAAAUAAAAUUAAAAAGAAUAAAUUU